GCUCUUCAGAUCUGCCAGAGGCUUGCAGAGGGAAGGGAACCGAGGCCCAGCUCAAAGCCCCAAACUUAACUGCUGGGCAGUGUGAUGACGCUGACUGCAAAUAAAACUUACAACAGUGACGACAAUAACUGUGUAAAAUGCUUGUGUUCUUGAGCAUUCACUGUGUGCCGGCACCUUUUGGGGAUUCUGCAUGCGUGAGCUCAUGUAGUGUUCGGUUUAGUUUAGAUAUUUCCAUGGGCG